AACGCGAAGAACCUUACCUGGGCUUGAAAGUUAGUGACCGCUCCUGAAAGGGAGCUUUCCGAAAGGACACGAAACUAGGUGCUGCAUGGCUGUCGUCAGCUCGUGCCGUGAGGUGUUGGGUUAAGUCCUGUAACGAGCGCAACCCCUACCAUUAGUUGCCAGCGGGUAAUGCCGGGGACUCUAGUGGAACUGCCUGCGUAAGCAGUGAGGAAGGUGGGGACGACGUCAAGUCAUCACGGCCCUUACGUCCAGGGCUACACACGUGCUACAAUGGCCGAAACAAUGGGCAGCUACCUGGUAACAGGAUGCUAAUCUCUAAAUUCGGUCUCAGUUCGGAUAGAGGUCUGCAAUUCGACCUCUUGAAGUUGGAUUCGCUAGUAAUCGCGCAUCAGCAAUGGCGCGGUGAAUACGUUCCCGGGCCUUGUA
rnacentral:rRNA from 1 species